GAGGCGCUGGAGCGGCAGCUGAGAUAUUCUGGAAACCCUAGGGGUUUCUGAAAAUUGUUUUUCGUUUUGGGUUUCAAUGUAAUUGAGCUGGGGUAUUUGGGCCAUUGUAAUUGGGUUUAGUUUUUGUUGUAAUUGGGCAGUGUAAAUGGACUUAUGGAUUUUUAAUAUUUUUUUAUUUUUUAUUGGGCCGGGCAAAUUGGGUAUUACAACUAAUACUACUUUUUCCCUGUCACUAUACAAACUUCCUACGUGUCUCAAUUAGUAAUUGGCUACCAAAUUCUAAAACAACAAAUUCCAUUGUUUAAGAUUCACUAAUUGUUAUAUUCACUUGCAUCAUUUAUC
rnacentral:lncRNA from 1 species